rnacentral:tRNA from 1 species
GGAGGGGUGGCAGAGUGGUCGAAUGCGGCGGUCUUGAAAACCGUUGUGGGCGAUGCCCACCGGGGGUUCGAAUCCCUCCCCCUCCGCCA